UACGGAGGAUCCAAGCGUUAUCCGGAUUUAUUGGGUGUAAAGGGUGCGUAGACGGGAUUACAAGUUGGUUGUGAAACCCCUCAGCUCAACUGAGGAACUGCAACCAAAACUAUAAUUCUUGAGUGCAGGAGAGGAAAGUGGAAUUCCUAGUGUAGCGGUGAAAUGCGUAGAUAUUAGGAAGAACACUGGUGGCGAAGGCGACUUUCUGGACUGUAACUGACGUUGAGGCACGAAAGUGUGGGGAGCAAACAGG
rnacentral:rRNA from 1 species